AAUAGGGGGCAAAGGGAAGAGGCAAUUUUAAAGCCAGUAAAUUCCAGUGGAAGGUUCCUCACUCCCUCUGAGCAGGAAUAUCCUGGGUGCUGCUGUGGAGAUGGGGCUGCCUUCAAAUAGCACAGGAAAAUGACAAUAAUCUACUGAAAAAGAUUUGAAAAAGAUGACUAAAUGUACUAAAAAUGCAGUGCUGGUCUGAUUCAGUCUUACAGUUUUGAUGUCUCAAACAAAUGUCAGCAUCUUUACAAGGAGAACAUUGACAAGUGAAUGAGACAAGCAAGUGGGCUGGAGAAGAAUCUGUCUCCAAUAUUCUGAUGGACUUCGAGGACCUGUGUCUGGAGACAGGAGAUCUGCUGCAGGAUGGGAGGCACACAAGCAUUGCUGGAUCAAAGACCGGCAGCCAAGAUACAGUAUCUGAAUGCUGCUGCUGCAUUAAUGUGUGAGAAUUUAAACGGAGCUUUUCUGUCUCAUCCCUGGGAGCUGCCUGCACAGGAGAGGUCUCGCCUCGUGCCUUCCCCCUCUCUGUUCUUUCUGCUCUUGGAUGAGAAAUGA
rnacentral:lncRNA from 1 species